CUAUCAAGUUUAAAAUUGCUGAUUGGAACAGCAUCUUUUCAAGAAACUGAAGCAUUUGCUAGCUUUUGCUCUAGAUCUUGGCUUGAUAACGAAUUUUGCGUAAGUGAUUUCUGAAACUUUCAACAAUAUGGUUAGAAAGAUCUGGAAUUCAGCAUGUCUUACAAUGCUUUUGUCUUUUUUAUGCUGUUUAGGAGUCACAGCAAUGUAAUAUUUAAAAUGUUGGACAGGUGGAUGAUCACACCUAAAUUGGAAGCAAUGCUCAGAACUUCCUAGGAAGGACAAACAUCUUCUGCUAGAAGAGCUGAAGUGUAUUGGUGCUUAUCAGCUGCCUAGAAUACACCUCAUGGGUGUUUGAAGUGUUUGUGAUAUGGCAUAAACGUCUAGAGGAAAGAGUUCCUUGUAAAUUGAUCAGUCUCCAGGGAAGAAAACCAGCAUGUGCAAGGAAUUGGAGCUUGGUAUUAAACGUCUGCUCAUGAUGUGAUGCGUGGCUGAUUACUGACUUCAUCUUGGAUAACUUCCACUGUGCUCUGCAAUAUCUUAUCUUGAAAAUGAGAUUGAGACAAGUAAUGGCUAAAACUACACAACUUCAACAAUUGUGUUUAAAUAUGCAUCUAGCCAUUUGGUUGAACUGAGGUUUCAUGAUAAAACCUUCUGUAAUCUAUUUCUAUGGCUGUGUGUUAACUGAAAUAAAACAUGAAAAUGCUACUAGCA